CUGGGAGGCGGACAGGAAAGAGAUGUUCCUGAGAGAGGUGGGGAAUGUUGGGGAGGUUGAAAAGUACGGACACUCCAUUGAUGAUGAGAGCCUGGUGGAGAUAAUACAAGGGGAAACCUUUUCCACAUGGAAAACUGAGCUGAACAAUGUGACUGAUGUGGAUGACAUGAAGAGUAUGAAGAGCAAAUGGUUGACUCUUGUGGAGAGACACGCUAGAGAUGACAUGCGGUUUCCACAGACCCUGUUGUGUCUACUACGCUUCAUACGUAACCGGGUGGACAGGUCAGUUAGCACACACACA